UACGUAGGGGGCAAGCGUUGUCCGGAUUCAUUGGGCGUAAAGAGCGUGUAGGCGGCCAGGUAGGUCGGUUGUGAAAACUCGAGGCUUAACCUCGAGCUGUCGGCGGAAACCAUCUGGCUAGAGUCCGGAAGAGGAGAAUGGAAUUCCCGGUGUAGCGGUGAAAUGCGCAGAUAUCGGGAAGAACACCCGUGGCGAAGGCGGUUCUCUGGGACGGUACUGACGCUGAGACGCGAAAGCGUGGGGAGCGAACAGG
rnacentral:rRNA from 1 species